rnacentral:rRNA from 1 species
UACGGGGGGAGCAAGCGUUGUUCGGAUUUACUGGGCGUAAAGGGCGCGUAGGCGGUCGUGACAAGUCACUUGUGAAAUCUCCGGGCUUAACUCGGAACGGUCAAGUGAUACUGUCGUGCUAGAGUACAGAAGGGGCAACUGGAAUUCCGGGUGUAGCGGUGGAAUGCGUAGAGAUCCGGAAGAACACCGGUGGCGAAGGCGGCCUGCUGGGCAGUUGCUGACACUGAGGCGCGACAGCGUGGGGAGCAAACAGG